CGGGGGUCCCCCUUGUUGCCUGUAGCCCCAGGGUGAAGGGGCCGCUGGACAAAGACCUGACGGAGUGGGAGGGGCCUGCGGGCCGGCCCUCGGGCUCCGGACGCUGGAUCCUUCUGGGACCCGAACCCGCAAACCUUGGCUCCCCACCCCCAGGCCAGCAGACGCCCCCGAGCCGGCUGCUCGCUUUCGCUGCAGCCCCCGCACCAGAGGGGGCUGCGAGACGGGUGCCCGUCGGCGGCCGGGCGGCUAUCCCCUGCUCUGCCCGCCCCCUCCCCCCGGGAAGUGACCCUCGGCUCCCACGUACCCGCUAGGGUCUCUCGCCAGCCCUGCCCUCCGACCCCCGCCGAGCUGAACCCCGCGACCAGCAGCCCCCGCCCUCUCGGCCCUCUCCGGCCCCGCGCCGGCGGACAAAGCUCCGGACACCCUGACCGAACGGUCACCUCCCCCCGCCCCAUCCCGGCCCGCCCGCGGCCCCGUACCUCGGCAUCACGGCCGGGUCCUAGGUGAGUGUGCGCGGCCUGGGGGCGCGUCCGGCCCGGGGACCGGGGCGGCGGCGCGGGCCGGGGGCGACAGGCCUGGGCUGGGGGGCAGUGGCGCUCACCAUCCUGGAGCCGCUGCUGCUGCGGCUGCUGCGGC
rnacentral:lncRNA from 1 species